UUUUGAUUAAGAACAAUACAUACAAACUGUAUAAUUAAAUGUAUAAUAUUAAAAUAUAAAAAAAUAUUUAUGACACAAAAUGCAUUAUAUUUUUAUGGUGUUUGGAACUUCAAACUUCAAAAACUAAAUUAGAAAUUUAAUGCAUACUGGAGUUGGCCUUGUUUCAGAUAGUUGCAGUACCUUCUGUAUAAGGUUUUGUGUUUUUCAAUUGGUUCAACGUAAACUAUUUAUUAAAAACAAUUAAUUUUUUUAAACUAUAUUUAUUAAAUUAUGUUUGAACAUCAGGAAAAUACCAAAUGCGAAAAUGAAGUUUUUUUAAAAACAUUAAGGGUUACAACAGUUUCGCUAAAAAAUUCGAUUUCAACUUCCAAUUGCACCUUGUUUUUUUGAAUUACUUUGUUAAUAAACUACACAAAAUAGUAAAUUGAAUUCGUAGGAAUAGUUAGUUACUACACGAAAAAAAGGGUGGUAUUAUUCAAAAAAACCUAAUUUAAUUAAGUUUCAUCUGCCAAAAUAUUUUUGAUAUAAGGAAAUCUUUAUAUAAUGAACUCGUCAUGCAAUGAAAAUUUCUAUUUGACAAAUAUUUCUUUUUGCCUUUACCAAUUGUAAAUGGAUGGAU